GCACAAGCGGUGGAGCAUGUGGUCUAAUUCGACGCAACGCGAAGAACCUUACCAGGGCUUGACAUCCCCUGACCGCGUAUGAAAGUACGAAUUCACCUUCGGGUGACAGGGAGACAGGUGGUGCAUGGUUGUCGUCAGCUCGUGUCGUGAGAUGUUGGGUUAAGUCCCGCAACGAGCGCAACCCCUACGUUUAGUUGCUAACGCGUGAAGGCGAGCACUCUAGACGAACUGCCGUUGACAAAACGGAGGAAGGUGGGAUGACGUCAAAUCAUCAUGCCCCUUAUGUUCUGGGCUACACACGUGCUACAAUGGCCGGUACAGACGGACGCAAAGCCGCGAGGUGGAGCAAAUCCUAAAAAGCCGGUCUCAGUUCGGAUUGCAGGCUGCAAUUCGCCUGCAUGAAGUCGGAAUCGCUAGUAAUCGCAGGUCAGCAUACUGCGGUGAAUACGUUCCCGGGCCUU
rnacentral:rRNA from 1 species